GUGCUCACUUUGGCAACACAUAUACUAAAAUUGGAAUGAUACAGAGAUUAGCGUGGCUCCUGUGGAAGGAUGACAUGCAAAUUCAUAAAGUAUUCCAUUAAAAA
ensembl:snRNA U6 U6 spliceosomal RNA